rnacentral:rRNA from 1 species
GAUGAACGCUGGCGGCGUGCCUAAUACAUGCAAGUCGAACGAGGUGCUUUUGUAGCAAUACGAAGGUAUCCUAGUGGCGAACGGGUGAGUAACGCGUUGGUGACCUGCCCCAAAGUGUGGGAUAACAGUUCGAAAGGAUUGCUAAUACCGCAUGUGGUCAUUGGAUCUAGAAACCGAUGACUAAAGCAGUAAUGCGCUUUGGGAGGGACCUGCGUCCCAUCAGCUAGUUGGUGAGGUAACGGCCCACCAAGGCGGGGACGGUAGGGGGCCUGAGAGGGUGGUCCCCCACACUGGAACUGAGAGACGGUCCAGACUCCUACGGGAGGCUG